rnacentral:rRNA from 1 species
GGCGGCAGGCUUAACACAUGCAAGUCGAGCGCCUCGCAAGAGGAGCGGCAGACGGGUGAGUAACGCGUGGGAAUCUACCCAUCCUUACGGAACAACGCAGGGAAACUUGCGCUAAUACCGUAUACGCCCUUACGGGGAAAGAUUUAUCGCCGAAAGAUCAGCCCGCGUUGGAUUAGCUAGUUGGUGAGGUAACGGCCCACCAAGGCGACGAUCCAUAGCUGGUUUGAGAGAACGACCAGCCACACUGGGACUGAGACACGGCCCAGACUCCUACGGGAGGCAGCAGUUGGGAAUCUUGGACAAUGGGGGAAACCCUGAUCCAGCCAUGCCGCGUGAGUGAUGAAGGCCUUCGGGUUGUAAAACUCUUUCGACGGGGACGAUAAUGACGGUACCCGUAGAAGAAGCUCCGGCUAACUUCGUGCCAGCAGCCGCGGUAAUACGAAGGGGGCUAGCGUUGUUCGGAAUUACUGGGCGUNAAGCGUGCGCAGGCGGUCUUCCAAGUCAGUGGUGAAAGCCCGGAGCUCAACUCCGGAAAUGCCAUUGAAACUGUUGGACUC